rnacentral:rRNA from 1 species
GACGAACGCUUGCGGCGUGCUUAACACAUGCAAGUCGAACGGAAAGGCCCUGCUUUUGUGGGGUGCUCGAGUGGCGAACGGGUGAGUAACACGUGAGUAACCUGCCCUUGACUUUGGGAUAACUUCAGGAAACUGGGGCUAAUACCGGAUAGGAGCUCCUGCUGCAUGGUGGGGGUUGGAAAGUUUCGGCGGUUGGGGAUGGACUCGCGGCUUAUCAGCUUGUUGGUGGGGUAGUGGCUUACCAAGGCUUUGACGGGUAGCCGGCCUGAGAGGGUGACCGGCCACAUUGGGACUGAGAUACGGCCCAGACUCCUACGGGAGGCAGCAGUGGGGAAUAUUGCACAAUGGGCGGAAGCCUGAUGCAGCAACGCCGCGUGCGGGAUGACGGCCUUCGGGUUGUAAACCGCUUUCGCCUGUGACGAAGCGUGAGUGACGGUAAUGGGUAAAGAAGCACCGGCUAACUACGUGCCAGCAGCCGCGGUGAUACGUAGGGUGCGAGCGUUGUCCGGAUUUAUUGGGCGUAAAGGGCUCGUAGGUGGUUGAUCGCGUCGGAAGUGUAAUCUUGGGGCUUAACCCUGAGCGUGCUUUCGAUACGGGUUGACUUGAGGAAGGUAGGGGAGAAUGGAAUUCCUGGUGGAGCGGUGGAAUGCGCAGAUAUCAGGAGGAACACCAGUGGCGAAGGCGGUUCUCUGGGCCUUUCCUGACGCUGAGGAGCGAAAGCGUGGGGAGCGAACAGGCUUAGAUACCCUGGUAGUCCACGCUGUAAACGGUGGGUACUAGGUGUGGGGUCCAUUCCACGGGUUCCGUGCCGUAGCUAACGCUUUAAGUACCCCGCCUGGGGAGUACGGCCGCAAGGCUAAAACUCAAAGGAAUUGACGGGGCCCCGCACAAGCGGCGGAGCAUGCGGAUUAAUUCGAUGCAACGCGUAGAACCUUACCUGGGUUUGACAUGGAUCGGGAGUGCUCAGAGAUGGGUGUGCCUCUUUUGGGGUCGGUUCACAGGUGGUGCAUGGCUGUCGUCAGCUCGUGUCGUGAGAUGUUGGGUUAAGUCCCGCAACGAGCGCAACCCUUGUUCACUGUUGCCAGCACGUUAUGGUGGGGACUCAGUGGAGACCGCCGGGGUCAACUCGGAGGAAGGUGGGGAUGACGUCAAGUCAUCAUGCCCCUUAUGUCCAGGGCUUCACGCAUGCUACAAUGGCUGGUACAGAGAGUGGCGAGCCUGUGAGGGUGAGCGAAUCUCGGAAAGCCGGUCUCAGUUCGGAUUGGGGUCUGCAACUCGACCUCAUGAAGUCGGAGUCGCUAGUGAUCGCAGAUCAGCAACGCUGCGGUGAAUACGUUCCCGGGGCU